rnacentral:lncRNA from 1 species
GCUCAACAAAGUAGACAUGUUAUGCCUUAUAGCCAAUCAACCACGGAUUUGGUCCUAAACAUCUUUGCUAACCGGGCAUGAAAAGAAAAGAUGAUGGGUAGUUUCCACCAUUAGUCCACAAAGAGAGCAGUUUCGGUCUAUCUGAAGUUGUAAUUUGUCUUUUCUUUGCAAUUUUGCCCGAAUAGCUAACCAUAGGAUGCAAGCAUGAUUAGGAGUGAUAGAUCCGUCCAAAACUGAGGUUGC